UAUAUUUUGUGAUUCAAUACCGAUAGCCAACACAAUGUACGUAACCUCAAUUUUUUCGGAAAGUUUUAAAAUCACUUCCGAAUUCGGGUGUGGCCACUUAAUUUGGUCCGGGUGUGGCCACCACUUUUUACUAGUGACACUACACUCGUACAUAUACUAUUAGUUCUUAAGCCCACUGUAAUUGCUUCAAGGGUGACUAUGUUGAAACCGUUGAGCUUUCAUACUCAAUAGCUGCCAGCGAGAAUGAACGGUUUGAUCAGAAUUUGAUGGGCUGAACUGCUGAUUGCUUCAAAAAAAAGGGAAAAGUCUUCGCAAAAGUACGCUCGGUAUGUGUUGUUCAGAAUGCCUCUUAAUCAAACGUGCUUACUCAAAAAAUUGGUACCCGCAUCGACAGUCUUGAAGAAAAAAAUUUGUUCAUGUCUCCGCUCAAAUUGGCAACGCAAUAUCAUCUCAGACGGUUCGUCGGAGCUACAGCCGGUACAAACAAAUGGUUUUGCACGGAGGCCGAUGAAUAGUGGUUGGGGGUUUGUAGAAUUUCGGUAUUUAUUAAUUUGACCACACGAUCACAAACUUUAUAUUCGAAGUAAAAAAUGCCUUUUUUAAGCAUUUGAGUUAUCUGCUCUUGCUAAGAAAACUAAAAGUAAAUUGAAUUUUUAUACACGAUA